CUGGGCUUGACAUGCUGGUGUAAGCCGGUGGAAACAUCGGCCCCUCUUCGGAGCGCCUGCACAGGUGCUGCAUGGCUGUCGUCAGCUCGUGUCGUGAGAUGUUGGGUUAAGUCCCGCAACGAGCGCAACUCUCGCUCCCAGUUGCCAGCGGUUCGGCCGGGGACUCUGGGGGGACUGCCGGCGUUAAGCCGGAGGAAGGUGGGGACGACGUCAAGUCAUCAUGGCCCUUACGUCCAGGGCGACACACGUGCUACAAUGCCUGGUACAGCGCGUCGCGAACUCGCAAGAGGGAGCCAAUCGCCUAAAGCCGGGCUAAGUUCGGAUUGUCGUCUGCAACUCGACGGCAUGAAGCCGGAAUCGCUAGUAAUCGCGGAUCAGCCACGCUGCGGUGAAUACGUUCCC
rnacentral:rRNA from 1 species